GUAGGGAAUCUUCGGCAAUGGACGAAAGUCUGACCGAGCAACGCCGCGUGAGCGAAGAAGGCCUUCGGGUCGUAAAGCUCUGUUGUUAGAGAAGAACAUGGGUGAGAGUAACUGUUCACCCCUUGACGGUAUCUAACCAGAAAGCCACGGCUAACUACGUGCCAGCAGCCGCGGUAAUACGUAGGUGGCAAGCGUUGUCCGGAAUUAUUGGGCGUAAAGCGCGCGCAGGCGGUCUCUUAAGUCUGAUGUGAAAGCCCCCGGCUCAACCGGGGAGGGUCAUUGGAAACUGGGAGACUUGAGGACAGAAGAGGAGAGUGGAAUUCCAAGUGUAGCGGUGAAAUGCGUAGAUAUUUGGAGGAACACCAGUGGCGAAGGCGGCUCUCUGGUCUGUUACUGACGCUGAGGCGCGAAAGCGUGGGGAGCAAACAGGAUUAGAAACCCGUGUAGUCC
rnacentral:rRNA from 1 species